rnacentral:rRNA from 1 species
AGGGAAUCUUCCGCAAUGGACGAAAGUCUGACGGAGCAACGCCGCGUGAACGAAGAAGGUCUUCGGAUCGUAAAGUUCUGUUGUUAGGGAAGAACACGUACCAUUCGAAUAGGGUGGUACCUUGACGGUACCUAACGAGAAAGCCCCGGCUAACUACGUGCCAGCAGCCGCGGUAAUACGUAGGGGGCAAGCGUUGUCCGGAAUUAUUGGGCGUAAAGCGCGCGCAGGCGGUUCUUUAAGUCUGAUGUGAAAUCUUGCGGCUCAACCGCAAGCGGUCAUUGGAAACGGGAGAACUUGAGGACAGAAGAGGAGAGUGGAAUUCCACGUGUAGCGGUGAAAUGCGUAGAGAUGUGGAGGAACACCAGUGGCGAAGGCGACUCUCUGGUCUGUAACUGACGCUGAGGCGCGAAAGCGUGGGUAGCGAACA